rnacentral:rRNA from 1 species
UGAGGAAUAUUGGUCAAUGGGCGGCAGCCUGAACCAGCCAUCCCGCGUGAAGGAAGAAUGCGCUAUGCGUUGUAAACUUCUUUUUCAGGGGGAUAAAAUUCUGUAUGUAUACAGGACUGAAGGUACCCUGAGAUUAACCAUCGGUUAACCCCGUGCCAGCAGCCGCGGUAAUACGGAGGAUGCGAGCGUUAUCCGGAUUUAUUGGGUUUAAAGGGUGUGUAGGCGGAAUAAUAAGUCAGUGGUGAAACCCUGCAGCUUAACUGUAGACUUGCCAUUGAUACUGUUUUUCUUGAGUAUAGUCAAGGCAGGCGGAAUGUGUAAUGUAGCGGUGAAAUGCUUAGAUAUUACACAGAACACCGAUAGCGAAGGCAGCUUGCUGGGCCGUUACUGACGCUGAUGCACGAAAGCGUGGGGAUCGAACA